GGCUACCUGGCCGUUGUUUGCUCUUCAUCAUUGCAGCAGUGGUGGAGAGAUAAUUUGGUUGUUGCUGGUGGCCAAAAGCUAUUGUGGAAGCCUGUUGAUUGGGCCCAGUGGAGACAUGAGGAGCAUUCUCAAUCGUCCAGCCCGUCCUGUUGUACCCACGGAGGGUCAAAGACUCAGUGUGUCUUAAGUGGAACAUACCACUGUCAGCGGCGGGGGGACACCGUCGUCUUUCCCAUACGUUGUUUUUGUUUUGUUUUGUUUUAUUUGAUGUGUGCAUGUCGAGCUCUCAGAGACAGGCUGUAGGCUAGUUGAUGUGGUCUUGAACACACUGUUUGCCCCAGCCAUUUACUCCUUGGGGGAGCAAGGAGUGGGUGACUGCAGCGUUAACCCAGUGAGGAUAGCAGAGUGGUGUGGGCCCAUUGGGCUGUGGUGUAUCUACCUGGUUUGGUGAACAUAUCAUGAACGCUUUUAGCCUGCUUGGCUAGGAUACACCUACUGUGCAUUGUGAACGUCUUCAUUUACCAUUGCAUGCUGUCUUUGUUUCUUUGAUUGAAGUGUUUUAGAUUUAUUCCUUCUGUUUGUUUUAUUUUUACUUAGAUGUGUUCAUCUUGGUUUGCUGUGUACUGGGGUUCACCGUGUAGUGUGUGUGUGUAUCCUCCCAAAAUUACUGAUAACCACCAGUAUUGGUUAAGCCUACGCCUACUACUAGUUUACACCAUUCGGCUACUCAGCCGGUGAAAUUGGUUCUGUCUGUAUCAUUUCUGUGAAACUGUGAUGACCCUUGACCUGCCUGUCUCUGUUAGAUUUCCACAUUUUAAGUCAGUGUGACAA